AUUGAGAUCGGUACACUGACUGCAUAGCAUUGUGUGAACGACUGUGAAUUAGGCUUCGAUUGGGUGACUGACUUUUGAUUCCAUCAAACGUCUGUUCGUUGGCAUGAACAGUCAGUGGAAGAGAAGUGGAAGAGCUGUCAGUCAUUUUUUGCAAAGAGAGAGGGGAGAUAGAGAGAGUCGCCCUCUUUCGUUUUGGGACUUGU
rnacentral:ribozyme from 1 species